AAAGUAGAAAAUCAAAUAGUGGUCACUGAAUUCAUCUUUUUAAAUUUUUCCAAGCACCCUGCAUUACAAAUGGUUUUCUUCCUGUUCUCCUUGGUCAUUUAUCUGAUAUCUCUUCUGGGAAAUGCAGUCAGGGUCAGUCCUGCCUUCUAUACUCCAAUGGGUUAUUUUCUUAGCCACUUGAGCUUCCUGGAUAUCUGCUACAUGUCUACCACCAUCCUGGUCAUGCUGGUGAACUUCUUCCAGGAGAGUAAGACCAUCUCCUAUGAGGGCUGCCUUUCCCAGAUCUUCUUCCUUGCAUUAUGAGCCAGCACUGAGGGGGUUUUGCUGGCUGCCAUAGCUUAUGACCACUGUGUGGCUAUUUGCCACCGUCUUCAAUAUAGGCUCCUAAUGAGUGGAAAGGUCUACGUUUGUUUGGUGACUGGGUUUUGGAUGUGUGGGCUACUCAAUUCUGGGACACACACAGCACUGACAGCCACACUCACUGCGUGAACCCAACCCCAUCAGCUACUUUCUCUGUGCCAUCCCAUUGCUCCUGAAGCUCUCCUGCUCAGACACCUGUCAGUGAGUCUGUGCUCCAUGUUGUGAGGGCCACCACUGGCCUGAGCCCCUGCCUGUUUAUGGCAACGUCCUACAUAUUCAUCAUCUCUACCAUCAUUAGGAUUCCCUCUGCUCAGGGCAGGAGCAAGGCCUGCUCUACCUGUGCCUCCCUCCUCACCAUGGUGGUGGUCAUCUUUGGAACAGACCACUUCAACUAUGACAGGCCCAGAGAAGGGUGCUCCCUGGACACAGACAUCCUGGUCUCUGUGCUCUUUUGUAUUGUGACCCCAGUGUUGAACCCCAUCACCUACAGCCUGAGAAACAAGGAGAUCAAGGGUGCAGUGAUGAGGCUGACAGGAAAACAUGAAUUCUCUA
rnacentral:sRNA from 1 species